UGCCAGCAGCCGCGGUAAUACGGAGGGUGCAAGCGUUGCUCGGAAUCACUGGGCGUAAAGCGUCCGCAGGCGGGUAUUUAAGUCAGAGGUGAAGGCCCAGGGCUCAACCCUGGAACGGCCUUUGAAACUGGGUACCUUGAGUACGGAAGAGGGAAGCGGAAUUCCAGGUGUAGAGGUGAAAUUCGUAGAUAUCUGGAGGAACACCCGUGGCGAAAGCGGCUUCCUGGUCCGAUACUGACGCUCAUGGACGAAAGCGUGGGGAGCAAACAGGAUUAGAUA
rnacentral:rRNA from 1 species